rnacentral:rRNA from 1 species
CAAGGAAUUUUCCCCAAUGGGCGCAAGCCUGAGGGAGCAACGCCGCGUGCAGGACGACGGCCUUCGGGUUGUAAACUGCUUUUGCGUGGGACGAUAACGACGGUACCACGCGAAUCAGCCCCGGCUAACUCUGUGCCAGCAGCCGCGGUAAUACAGAGGGGGCAAGCGUUGUCCGGACUUACUGGGCGUAAAGCGCACGCAGGUGGCCCGUUAAGUUGGCUGUGAAAUCCCCUGGCUCAACCAGGGAAGUGCAGUCGAUACUGGCGGGCUCGAGUCCCGGAGAGGGUGGUAGAAUUCCCAGUGUAGAGGUGAAAUUCGUAGAUAUUGGGAGGAAUACCGGUGGCGAAGGCGACCGCCUGGACGGGUACUGACACUGAGGCGCGAAAGCAUGGAUAGCAAAAGGGAUUAGAUACCCCCGUAGUCC